AUUGAACGCUGGCGGCAGGCCUAACACAUGCAAGUCGAGCGUGCCUCGUUCGGUUGUGUAAUCUUUGGGGUUCUGCCCUAUAGUUUGGGAUAACUACUUGAAACGGUGGCUAAUACCGCUUACUAUCGGAUUCACCCCUAUGGUAUUAGCUAGUAGGUGGGGUAAAGGCUCACCUAGGCGACGAUCUCUAGCUGGUCUGAGAGGAUGAUCAGCCACACUGGGACUGGGACACGGCCCAGACUCCUACGGGAGGCAGCAGUGGGGAAUAUUGCACAAUGGGCGCAAGCCGGAUGCAGCCAUGCCGCGUGUAUGAAGAAGGCCUUAGGGUUGUAAAGUACUUUCAGCGGGGAGGCGUGAGCCGGAGAAGAAGCACCGGCUAACUCCGUGCCAGCAGCCGCGGUAAUUG
rnacentral:rRNA from 1 species